AGAAUCUAGCCUGAGAAGAGCUGUGAAAAUGAACCCCCAUCAAUCCCAAUAGAGGGGAGAAGAACUUUUCACAUCUGGGGAAGAACAUUCAGGGUCAAAGCUGCUCAUCUUGGGACAUUUGAAAGAUCUGAAUGUGUUUGAUAAGCCCCUAAAAGACUAACCUUUGCUAUUGCUCCUUGUGGGACAUAUUCAGAAAGGGAGAAACCAUAGCCACAGUAAAGAUUGGACACCCGGGCACUGUCAAGUAGCUCUCUUAUUCCGAGGCUCCAGCUUCAGUAAAGGAUCCUGGCCCAUCAGUGGAUCCUGUGAGGUACAGGUUUUAACAGAUGAGCAAAUGGAAGUACAGAGAUUUAGUAGAUUGUCAGUCACAUGCCUAUGAGAGAAAGACAUCUGGGAAACCUGAGAGCCACUGAGAGAUCAUCCUGUGUGAAGUCUGUGAUGGGAGACCCAAGAAACCCCAAAGGUUCCACUGAGGAAAGAACUUCCUGAAGACUCUGCGCUCUGUGAAGAUCAUCAAGAGGAGCAGUGUGCUGUGCAUGGUGAUGGCUGCAUUUGGGGGAAACUGAGGCCUGGAAAAAUGAAGUGUCUUGGCAAAAUGCCUGUGGGAGAAUCUUUGGAGCUUGAGGGUGAGCACAACUGAGAACACUGACAAGUCUAAGAAGAAGCUCUCAAGAAUGUUAUUAAAUGUAUUCUCCCACUCUGAUUCCUGAUCUCCCUAUCAUCUCAGUUAGAACCUUGGAAUCCAUUCACAGGAAUAGUGAAAACAUCAGGUGUCCAUCAGA